rnacentral:lncRNA from 1 species
CGACCACCCGCUCCUGCUUUGUCAAGUCCAGCCUCCACUGCGCAAGUUCAUCCUCCACUGCGCAAGUCCAGCCUCCACUGCGCAAGUCCAGCCUCCACUGCGCAAGUCCAGCCUCCACUGCGCAAGUCCACACUGAGCGGAGGGUAGCCGAGCUGGUGCUAUCGUUCCCUUGCUCUGGUUACAGUCUCUUCUUCCUUCCCCUCACAUGUGAGCAGAGAGCAAACCAAACUGCCCCCAAGAAGGGUCUUCACAGGAACAAAACUUUGGAGUUGGCUCACAGGAGAUGCAUUUAAAGAAGGAUCCCAGGGCUGCCCACUCUCCAGAAAGUUCCACCCACCCUGGCCAUCAGAAGGAGACAGAGAAGCAUUCUUCACUGGGGCCCAGAGCUGACUGUAACUGACCGGAAACACCCACGUCUAUGCAUCGGCUCCACCCACCAAAUGAAAGAACAAAAUUGUGCUUGCUUUUGUUCUCACCGCCCCCACGGAAUUCACAAAUGUGUGUGUGUGUGUGUGUGUGUGUGUGUGUGAAUAUGCUUGAGCCAUCACAAAAUUAGAGAUUUUUUUUUAAAGCAUUGACUUAGGGCCUACUUAUAAACCAGGUAUCAAAGAUCGGCCUCCUUUGAUGCCUUGGUCUCAAAAUAGAUAUUAAUAAUAUUCAUAUUUCUAGGUUUGGGGAACAUUUGCAAACCGCAUGUGAACUCUAUCAUAUAUCAGGAGGUACCAAAGUCUUUGAAAUUAUCUUGCAUGGAAAAAUGGACUGUCUGUGUGCAACCAGAUACCAAUGGCUACAUCUGCCAAGACGGGGGCUCUCCCAAUGGCUACAUCUGCCAAGACAGGGGCUCCCCCAUAAGCCUCUAUUUAACUUCAUGGACUUCAUAUUCUGAUUGUGUAGACCCUGUCUCUGAACUCUGAGUGACUCCUGCAUGUUUGAAGACCAUCCCUGGUGCCUUUGCACAGCUCUGCUGGGCAAGACACAUAAGCUCCUAACAGAUCCAGCCCUCCCCAGCAAGGGCUCAGCCAGCUCUCAGUACUGGCCACUGGCCAACCCUAACCCUAGCUCAGUGAUUCUCCCACAGCCAGCAUGGUGGUGCUCCCACACCCAUCUCUCCACCAUAAAUGAAUUCUUCUCUUGCUCAUUGCACACAGAGAACCCCUGUAAAAGUUCCCUAGCCUGUCGGGCCAGGACUUGAUCAGCCAGGGGUGAGUAGGGGUGAUGGUAUUCUUAAAGCUCUGCAUCUCUCUCUGACUCUACAUUUAACUAGUCCCUGAUCCCAAGGGAUUGCCAACAUUCCUUCAAAUUCCUACAAACCAUGAGGAUUCACUCUCCCAAGAAGGAAUCUUGAGAAGAGGGUACCUCCCUGCCUGACUCAAGAUCUCAAGGACUCUUGAAAGCACACUGAGAGCUGGUUGCUUCCCCAAGAUGAAGGGCCUCAAGAACAUCUCCCCUCCCACCCUUCCCAAGCCUCACAUUUCCCCUCCUCCGUCAGGUUGUUCCCCAUCACUCUGAUUCUGGGUAGCUCCUGGUUGCUCUACCAGAUGCAAUAUGGCAGAAGAGACAGUUCAACGCAUAGGCAGAAUGUCACUUUGCUUUUUGGGGGAACCUUGGGACAAAGGCUUAGAGGCAGGGGUUUGGGUGUCCUGACCGAUACCGUUAGGUAUGGCAUUCGCCAUCACGGUAUCUGCAAUCACAGGGGAAUGGGAAAUCUCUGAGUAGGGACACCCAGCUGAACCCGUCAUCCACCAACCCAGAAGACAGCAUAGGGACUCUACUUUUAAGCCUCUACUUUUGUGGUAUAUGCCUGUGUGUGUGUGUGUGUGUGUGUGUGUGUGUGUGUACAUAUAUAUAACCAUUUGACCACUGUUCAGCAUGUAUUUUCCUGUCAUUAAGAACAUCUAUGGGCUGGGGAGAUGUAUCUAUGUGUAAAGAAGCUUAUUAUGCAAGCUGUGUGACCUGAGUUUGGAUCCUGAGAACUCUGACACAGUAGCGCAAGUACCUUUAACCCCAGCAUGCUCCUAUAGGGAGAUAGGAGACUGGGACAGAAGAAGUCCAAGGGCUAGCAAGCCUAGCUCAUGCUUGUUUGGACCAUGUCUCAAACAAGGUGGAAGGCAAGGACCAACCCCAAAAGGUCUUAUCCCCAAACAGGUAACCCAUGUGCUGUACAAAUAUGCACACACACACACAUACACACACACACACACACACACACACAGAGAGAGAGAGAGAGAGAGAGAGAGAGAGAGAGAGAGAGAGUUAAUUAAUGCCAGCAUCCAUUCCCAGAACUGUAUCUUUCUUAACCAAAAUUUUACACCAACAAAACUGUAAAAUGACAGACUCUCAACCUUUAAAGAUGGAGGCGGGGGUGGGGGGUGGGAGUCAUACAGCACGAGUGUGUCCUUGGACAUCUGAAGUGCUGCUGCUGCUGCUGCUGCUGCUGCAAAGGCUCAAAGUCUGAAUCUCUAAGGGCCUGGGAGUGGUUCCCAAUGAUCACACAUAGAAAAGCUUUCCUGCCGUGUGAAUACAGUGCUGUUAGCAAACAGAGUGUGCUGUCCAGGCCAGGGGCUGAGCCAGGAAGUUGAGAAACUGUGUCCUGGCCCAGUUGGUCUGCCAGGAAAGUAAGUGUGCCACUUAGCCACUAUCAGGGCUUCUUUUUUCAUGUGCAUAAUGAAGCUUGCAAGCCACCUACAUC